UCCUUCCAGGCUGUGGUUGCGGGGGCUGUUGGGCGGCGCGCCCAGGCUCCUUAGUCCAGGACAGACGCGGUCAAAGGGAUCCACGUAAGCCAAUGCGUGCGCGCAGAGGCGAUCAUGGCGCGUCCUAGAGGUCAGUCGCACCGUCCGUCUUAUUCUUUUGAGGCAAUAGGUGUCUCGCGGGCGAGCGGGUUAGUCGUGAAGUCACUGCGGUGGCCGAGCAAACGCCCCGGUGCGCAGGUGUGGGGUCAAAAACCAGGUCAGCUGGAGGGA
rnacentral:ncRNA from 12 species